rnacentral:piRNA from 1 species
UAAGCAAUCAAAAGAACACACACACACACAC